GUGAACGCUGGCGGUAGGCCUAACCCAUGCCAGUCGAACGGCAGCACCGUAAGAGCUUGCUCUUACGGGUGGCGAGUGGCGGACGGGUGAGGAAUACAUCGGAAUCUACUUUUUCGUGGGGGAUAACGUAGGGAAACUUACGCUAAUACCGCAUACGACCUACGGGUGAAAGCAGGGGAUCUUCGGACCUUGCGCGAUUGAAUAAGCCGAUGUCGGAUUAGCUAGUUGGCGGGGUAAAGGCCCACCAAGGCGACGAUCCGUAGCUGGUCUGAGAGGAUGAUCAGCCACACUGGAACUGAGACACGGUCCAGACUCCUACGGGAGGCAGCAGUGGGGAAUAUUGGACAAUGGGCGCAAGCCUGAUCCAGCCAUACCGCGUGGGUGAAGAAGGCCUUCGGGUUGUAAAGCCCUUUUGUUGGGAAAGAAAAGCAGCAGGUUAAUACCCCGCUGUUCUGACGGUACCCAAAGAAUAAGCACCGGCUAACUUCGUG
rnacentral:rRNA from 1 species